AAACCAGCACCUCAAGUGGUCAGGAGGAUUAUUGGGCCUAAAGCAUCCGUAGCCUGUUCUGUAAGUUUUCGGUUAAAUCCAUUAGCUCAACUAAUGGGCCGCCGAAAAUACUGUAGAACUAGGGAGUGGGAGAGGUAGACGGUAUUCGGUAGGAAGGGGUAAAAUCCUUUGAUCUAUUGAGGACCACCUGUGGCGAAGGCGGUCUACCAGAACACGUUCGACGGUGAGGGAUGAAAGCUGGGGGAGCAAACCGGAUUAGAUACCCGAGUAGUCC
rnacentral:rRNA from 1 species